GAUGAACGCUGGCGGCGUGCCUAAUACAUGCAAGUCGAGCGAACGGACGAGAAGCUUGCUUCUCUGAUGUUAGCGGCGGACGGGUGAGUAACACGUGGAUAACCUACCUAUAAGACUGGGAUAACUUCGGGAAACCGGAGCUAAUACCGGAUAAUAUUUUGAACCGCAUGGUUAAAAAGUGAAAGACGGUCUUGCUGUCACUUAUAGAUGGAUCCGCGCUGCAUUAGCUAGUUGGUAAGGUAACGGCUUACCAAGGCAACGAUGCAUAGCCGACCUGAGAGCGUGAUCCGCCACACUAGAACUGAGACACGGUCCAGACUCCUACGGGAGGCCGCAGUAGGGAAUCCUCCGCAAUGCGCGAAAGCCUGACGGUGCAACGCCGCGUGAGUGAUGAAGGUCUUCGGAUCCUAAAACUCUGUUAUUAGGGAAGAACAUAUGUGUAAGUAACUGUGCACAUCUUGACGGUACCUAAUCAGAAAGCCACGGCUAACUACGUG
rnacentral:rRNA from 1 species